rnacentral:rRNA from 1 species
UUAAAGGAAUUGACGGGACCCGCACAAGCGGUGAUGAUGUGGUUAAUUCGAUGCAACGCGAAAAACCUUACCUACCCUUGACAUGUCAAGAAUUUUGCAGAGAUGUGAAAGUGCUCGAAAGAGAACUUGAACACAGGUGCUGCAUGGCCGUCGUCAGCUCGUGUCGUGAGAUGUUGGGUUAAGUCCCGCAACGAGCGCAACCCUUGUCAUUAGUUGCUACCGCAAGGAGCACUCUAAUGAGACUGCCGGUGACAAACCGGAGGAAGGUGGGGAUGACGUCAGGUCCUCAUGGCCCUUAUGGGUAGGGCUACACACGUCAUACAAUGGCCGGUACAGAGGGCUGCCAACCCGCGAGGGGGAGCCAAUCCCAGAAAACCGGUCGUAGUCCGGAUUGAAGUCUGCAACUCGACUUCAUGAAGGCGGAAUCGCUAGUAACCGCGAAUCAGCAGGUCGCGGUGAAUACGUUCCCGGGCCUU